UGGGCGUUAAGUUGCAGGGUAUAGACCCGAAACCCGGUGAUCUAGCCAUGGGCAGGUUGAAGGUUGGGUAACACUAACUGGAGGACCGAACCGACUAAUGUUGAAAAAUUAGCGGAUGACCUGUGGCUGGGGGUGAAAGGCCAAUCAAACCGGGAGAUAGCUGGUUCUCCCCGAAAGCUAUUUAGGUAGCGCCUCGUGAAUUCAUCUCCGGGGGUAGAGCACUGUUUCGGCUAGGGGGCCAUCCCGGCUUACCAACCCGAUGCAAACUGCGAAUACCGGAGAAUGUUAUCACGGGAGACACACGGCGGGUGCUAACGUCCGUCGUGAAGAGGGAAACAACCCAGACCGCCAGCUAAGGUCCCAAAGUCAUGGUUAAGUGGGAAACGAUGUGGGAAGGCCCAGACAGCCAGGAUGUUGGCUUAGAAGCAGCCAUCAUUUAAAGAAAGCGUAAUAGCUCACUGGUCGAGUCGGCCUGCGCGGAAGAUGUAACGGGGCUAAACCAUGCACCGAAGCUGCGGCAGCGAACGUAUCACCCAAGACAACUUUACGGAGUUGACGAUUGACGGAGCGAAGCGACGUCAAAGCGUUCAUUAAAGUCGAGUUGGCUUAGGGAUACGUUCGUUGGGUAGGGGAGCGUUCUGUAAGCCUGUGAAGGUGUGUCGUGAGGCAUGCUGGAGGUAUCAGAAGUGCGAAUGCUGACAUAAGUAACGAUAAAGCGGGUGAAAAGCCCGCUCGCCGGAAGACCAAGGGUUCCUGUCCAACGUUAAUCGGGGCAGGGUGAGUCGACCCCUAAGGCGAGGCCGAAAGGCGUAGUCGAUGGGAAACGGGUUAAUAUUCCCGUACUUGGUGUUACUGCGAAGGGGGGACGGAGAAGGCUAUGUUGGCCGGGCGACGGUUGUCCCGGUUUAAGCGUGUAGGUGUGUGUUCCAGGUAAAUCCGGUUCACUUUAACACUGAGGCGUGACGACGAGGCACUACGGUGCUGAAGCAACAAAUGCCCUGCUUCCAGGAAAAGCCUCUAAGCAUCAGGUAACACGAAAUCGUACCCCAAACCGACACAGGUGGUCAGGUAGAGAAUACCAAGGCGCUUGAGAGAACUCGGGUGAAGGAACUAGGCAAAAUGGUGCCGUAACUUCGGGAGAAGGCACGCUGACACGUAGGUGAAGUGAUUUACUCAUGGAGCUGAAGUCAGUCGAAGAUACCAGCUGGCUGCAACUGUUUAUUAAAAACACAGCACUGUGCAAACACGAAAGUGGACGUAUACGGUGUGACGCCUGCCCGGUGCCGGAAGGUUAAUUGAUGGGGUCAGCGUAAGCGAAGCUCCUGAUCGAAGCCCCGGUAAACGGCGGCCGUAACUAUAACGGUCCUAAGGUAGCGAAAUUCCUUGUCGGGUAAGUUCCGACCUGCACGAAUGGCGUAAUGAUGGCCAGGCUGUCUCCACCCGAGACUCAGUGAAAUUGAACUCGCUGUGAAGAUGCAGUGUACCCGCGGCAAGACGGAAAGACCCCGUGAACCUUUACUAUAGCUUGACACUGAACAUUGAGCCUUGAUGUGUAGGAUAGGUGGGAGGCUUUGAAGUGUGGACGCCAGUCUGCAUGGAGCCGACCUUGAAAUACCACCCUUUAAUGUUUGAUGUUCUAACGUGGACCCGUAAUCCGGGUUGCGGACAGUGUCUGGUGGGUAGUUUGACUGGGGCGGUCUCCUCCUAAAGAGUAACGGAGGAGCACGAAGGUUGGCUAAUCCUGGUCGGACAUCAGGAGGUUAGUGCAAUGGCAUAAGCCAGCUUGACUGCGAGCGUGACGGCGCGAGCAGGUGCGAAAGCAGGUCAUAGUGAUCCGGUGGUUCUGAAUGGAAGGGCCAUCGCUCAACGGAUAAAAGGUACUCCGGGGAUAACAGGCUGAUACCGCCCAAGAGUUCAUAUCGACGGCGGUGUUUGGCACCUCGAUGUCGGCUCAUCACAUCCUGGGGCUGAAGUAGGUCCCAAGGGUAUGGCUGUUCGCCAUUUAAAGUGGUACGCGAGCUGGGUUUAGAACGUCGUGAGACAGUUCGGUCCCUAUCUGCCGUGGGCGCUGGAGAACUGAGGGGGGCUGCUCCUAGUACGAGAGGACCGGAGUGGACGCAUCACUGGUGUUCGGGUUGUCAUGCCAAUGGCACUGCCCGGUAGCUAAAUGCGGAAGAGAUAAGUGCUGAAAGCAUCUAAGCACGAAACUUGCCCCGA
rnacentral:rRNA from 1 species